rnacentral:rRNA from 1 species
GCUGGCGGCGCGCUUAACACAUGCAAGUCGCACGAGAAAGGGAGCAAUCCUAAGUAAAGUGGCGCACGGGUGAGUAACACGUGGAUCAUCUACCUUUUAGUGGGGAAUACCUCUGGGAAACCGGAGACAAUACCGCAUAAGCCCGCAAGGGGAAAGCAGCAAUGCGCUGAAAGAGGAGUCCGCGGCCGAUUAGCUAGUUGGCGGGGUAACGGCCCACCAAGGCGAAGAUCGGUAGCCGGCCUGAGAGGGCACACGGCCACACUGGCACUGAAACACGGGCCAGACUCCUACGGGAGGCAGCAGUGGGGAAUCUUGCACAAUGGGCGAAAGCCUGAUGCAGCGACGCCGCGUGAGCGAUGAAGCCCUUCGGGGUGUAAAGCUCUUUCGACGGGAACGAUAAUGACGGUACCCGGAGAAGAAGCUGCGGCUAACUACGUGCCAGCAGCCGCGGUAAUACGUAGGCAGCGAGCGUUGUUCGGAAUUACUGGGCGUAAAGAGUGUGUAGGCGGUGCUCCCAGUCUGUUGUGAAAUCUC